rnacentral:rRNA from 1 species
GAGUUUGAUCCUGGCUCAGGGAUGAACGCUGGCGGCGUGCUUAACACAUGCAAGUCGAACGAAGCGCCUUAUUUGAUUUUCUUCGGAACUGAAGAUUUGGUGACUGAGUGGCGGACGGGUGAGUAACGCGUGGGUAACCUGCCCUGUACAGGGGGAUAACAAUCAGAAAUGACUGCUAAUACCGCAUAAGACCACAGCACCGCAUGGUGCAGGGGUAAAAACUCCGGUGGUACAGGAUGGACCCGCGUCUGAUUAGCUGGUUGGUGAGGUAACGGCUCACCAAGGCGACGAUCAGUAGCCGGCUUGAGAGAGUGAACGGCCACAUUGGGACUGAGACACGGCCCAAACUCCUACGGGAGGCAGCAGUGGGGAAUAUUGCACAAUGGGGGAAACCCUGAUGCAGCAACGCCGCGUGAGUGAAGAAGUAUUUCGGUAUGUAAAGCUCUAUCAGCAGGGAAGAAAGUGACGGUACCUGACUAAGAAGCCCCGGCUAACUACGUGCCAGCCGCCGCCGUAAG